rnacentral:misc_RNA from 1 species
GAUGAAGAACGUAGUGAAAUGCGAUAAGUAAUGUGAAUUGCAGAAUUCAGUGAAUCAUCGAAUCUUUGAACGCACAUUGCGCCCCUUGGUAUUCCGAGGGGCAUGCCUGUUCGAGCGUCAUUACACCACUCAAGCACUGCUUGGUAUUGGGCACUCGUCCGUCGAAAGACGGGCGUGCCUCGAAGACCUCGGCGGGGUUUCUCCAACUUCGGGCGUAGUAGAGUUAAAUCAAAACGUCUUAUAAGCUUGGUGAAAUCUCAUUGCCGUUAAACCUUUUUUUUUCAGGUUGACCUCGGAUCAGGUAGGGAUACCCGCUGAACUUAAGCAUAUCAAUAAGCGGAGGA